UCGUCCUUCCCCUGGAUGGGCAGUAUGGAGAUGCACUGUGCAUGACGAUCCCGGCAGUCCUGUGGGGCUAAGUCAUCCGUGUGGUGGCCAGCUUGAUAAUUCAUCUCUGUGUCGGCUGACUCUCCCUUCUGGCUCUGCUUUCUUCUUGCCCCUCACUCCUGCUCCUUGGAUCUCACUCCCCCGAAAGGACAUGUCCUUGAGAGGUAGAAGGCUUGUGCUUGGAUGAUAAGACGACAGUGGAAGCUGACUGCUUCACCUGCGUCUUCUUGGCUCGUCAUAACAGCAUGGUCCCAGCCCUGCAUCAUCCUCAUCUCACCCCGUCUCCGUGCCAGUGAGAUCCUGGAGCCUGUUGGGAAAUUGUGGAGGUUUUUGCCAAUGUCAUUGGCCAUAUUUUGGCCAAGGAGACCAGGGGCUUCGGUCUGCCAUGUGUUUUCAGCGUGCUGGCUGCCUGCGAACACAUCUGUCAACCUUAACAUCAGAGAACAAAAGCUUGGAUUUGACAUGAAAAGGACAGCACAAGAGCAGCCCUGACCGGACCGCCAUGUGGCAUUCCUAAGCGUGCAGAGAUUCAGCCUGGAAGAUAUGCACAGUACUUGAAAGAAGUCUUUUAUCCAGGCAAGAGGGGAUAAACACAUCUGUAUGGCAUUGAUUUUCCCCCCUUUCUUUCUGGGAUUUGGAGCUGGGCUGGGGGAAGGAACAAUGAAAACAUUUGAAACAUCUGACACUGAGUUGGGGCUGUGGGUAGACAGCAUUUGGGGGGAAAUGAAAGGUGAAAUGCCAAAUUUAGUUUGGCUCUUCUUUCUUUCUGGCGCCAUUUUUCUCUCUUAUAUUCGACCCAUAUUUUCCUUUUAGCACCAAUGGGGGGUGGGGUGGAUCAUGUAACAUUCCUACUUAGCACAUACAUAGCUAGCCUUGUCUUGAAAGGGAACCAUACACUGACAACGGAAACCUCGCAACCUCCCUAGUGGGAGACAACAUGGGGCUUCUGGCUUCCAGGAUAUUUAUUUUGGUUACUGUUUAGUG